ACUCGAUUUGUGUGGCCCACUCUGUCCAGGUGUCUCAGCUCCCCGAAGAAGCCAUAGACAAACCUGAAACUGUUAUUCAGGAGACAACUAAAGUGACACAGGGAGAAAAGCAGGCAACCAGGCAACCUCACGCAUGAGCCAAGGUAGGAAAAUUGAUCUAUACAAAAUCAUUUUUAUGGUCAUGUUAUUGGUCAGAAGAUAAGUGAAUGGGUAAAGAACUUUCAGAAGAGAAAAUAAAACAAAGCACAAGAAAUAGUGGGAUUAGAAAAAUCUCUACGCCUACAAAGGUUACUCUUCCUGGAAGUGAGAAAAGAAGAUACAAAAGAUUCCAACAAGAAGCUUCCAGUAAAUGAAACAAGAACAUAUUUCCCAGAAAACUGGAUAAAACUGCAUUACCGAAUACCCUGGACUAGAGAAAGCUUAGAUGUUCCUCGUGGCAUCUCUCACUUGUUCUGGAAGUAUUAUCUUUAGUUAG
rnacentral:lncRNA from 1 species